GACGAACCGUACGAACGUUAUUCGGAAUCACUGGGCUUAAAGGGCGCGCAGGCGGCCUUAGAAGUCAGAUGUGAAAGCCCCGGGCUCAACCUGGGAAUGGCAUUUGAUACUCUGAGGCUGGAGUACGGGAGAGGAGAGUGGAAUUCCCAGUGUAGAGGUGAAAUUCGUAGAUAUUGGGAAGAACACCGGUGGCGAAGGCGGCUACUCUGGACCGUAGCUGACGCUGAGGCGCGAAAGCGUGGGGAGCAAACAGG
rnacentral:rRNA from 1 species